rnacentral:rRNA from 1 species
GUGGGCUCUUAAUACGCUCUACACCCUUUGUGACAUACCUCAACUGUUGCUUCGGCGGGCAGGAGGACAACCCCCCUCGGGGGGCGGUCCCCCUCCCGGCCGCGCCCUCACGGGCGUGGCGCCCGCCGGAGGAUACCAAACUCUAUUUUAACGACGUUUCUUCUGAGUGGCACAAGCAAAUAAUUAAAACUUUUAACAACGGAUCUCUUGGUUCUGGCAUCGAUGAAGAACGCAGCGAAAUGCGAUAAGUAAUGUGAAUUGCAGAAUUCAGUGAAUCAUCGAAUCUUUGAACGCACAUUGCGCCCGCCAGCAUUCUGGCGGGCAUGCCUGUUCGAGCGUCAUUUCAACCCUCAAGCCCAGCUUGGUGUUGGGGCCCUACGGUUUGACGUAGGCCCUUAAAGGUAGUGGCGGACCCUCCCGGAGCCUCCUUUGCGUAGUAACUUAACGUCUCGCACUGGGAUCCGGAGGGACUCUUGCCGUAAAACCCCCAAAACUUUUACAGGUUGACCUCGGAUCAGGUAGGAAUACCCGCUGAACUUAAGCAUAUCAAUAAGAGGGAGGAAUGAUUUUCCCCUCUCACCUUUGGGAACUCCUCAACUGUUGCUUCGCGGGCAGGAGGACAACCCCCUCGGGGGGGGGGUCCCUCUCGGCCGCGCCCUCACGGGCGUGGCUCGCCGGAGGAUACAAAUCUAUUUUACGAGUUUCUCGAGUGGCCAGCAAUAAUUAAACUUUUACACGAUCUCUGGUUCUGGCUCAUGAAGAACCGCAAUGCAUUGUUAUGUGAAUUGUAUA